AUGAAGGAUGGAGACGUGUCUUUGAUUCUGAGGGAUGUGAUGAUUAACGACACUGGAACAUACGAGUGUCGUAUCUUCAGGAGAGGAACAAACGAUAAAAGGAGAGCUGUACAGCCCAUCAGCACCAUAUACCUGAGUGUUGUUCCUCCAGGUCUACCAGAAGGAUGCACAAGGGAUGGAGGGAAAGAGGAAGGACUCAGUAGAGAACAUUUUGGACUGAUAACAGCUCUGUCUGUUAUUGCUGUGAUGGCUACACUUGUGAUUUGUAAGAAGCAACAGAAUAACUCCACCCCCCAUCCUGAUGAACAAAUCUGAAACAAAGCAGCUUAGAGGCACCAAAACAAUACUGGCACAUAUAUUCCUUAGGCAGGAGCUGGUGUUCAACUUGGAACGGUCCAGUGGCUAAUUGGAUUAAAACAAACAAAAAAACAAAAACAAAAAAAACCCAAAAACCAAACCCUCAAUGGCUCAAGAAACAUCAAGAACUCAUGAAAUGUCAACAAACACACACGUUUUGGCUUUUGUAUCCAUUCAAUUUCCUUUAGUUAUCUACUGCACUGUAAAUGUGGCCAAAACACAGUCAAGACCCCUGCAAAGAAAUGUGGAAAACAAAUAUUGGUUACAGUUCUCGAUUUCAUGAUGAGUCUUGUCUGUUCUGUUUUUUUGGGGGGGGAGUUGUUCUUUUUUCCAAUGUGGAAUAUGUUAUUCACACUGUAUCAUAAUCUCUAAGCUUUAUAGGAAAACUGGCCCGUCUUCCAUCCUUUUAUCUGAAUUUCCUGUCUGAGUGACCUCAUGUUACUGCCCUGGGCCUCGGAGAGAGUGAGACCGCAGUUUUCCCUUCAAGCAAGUCCAAGAAUGCCAGGACUCUCUGAUGAUUGGCUAGCGGGAGACUUGUGCCAGCCCCUGUGCAUGCAGAUGGCACUGUGUCAGCCCACAUAGGUGAUUGGCUGCCUGGGGAUCCUGUGGCACUCCGUGAAGCAAUCAGUGGCUGAUCGUGCUCACCUGCCGCUACGAAAGACUGGAAAUCCUACACUCAGGGCUUUGGAGAGCUUGUACAGCUUGAACUUUGCGGCUUACCCCGGUAUAUGAUUGAGCUUAGCCUGUUUAGAGUUGUCAUUUGUUUUACUCACCUGUGUUUGCCUAAUGAGUUAAUUGGUUGCCCAGUGGCAUGUUGAACACAGCGCUGUCAGUUUUCUGUUUAAAGUUUGUAAUAAACCUUUUUUUUCUUUUUUUUUUUAACUGACUCCCCUUAGGGUGGCCUUGUUUGUGUUCGUCUCCUUAGUUAUGUUGCGGCUUUUGAGCCGGGUCGUAACACCUCAUAGAUCAUCACCUGUUCUUGCUGUUCAAGAACAGAUCAUGCUCAUAUGUUGUAUGGUGGGCCUGAAUUGUGGUGGUCACUUUAAACCUGAAGUCUUUCACACAUUCCUCCUGAGUUGCAGUGUGUAUAUAAUAGUGCAGGAUGUUGUGUGGACAUGUG
rnacentral:lncRNA from 1 species